rnacentral:rRNA from 1 species
GGAUAUCUGCAGAAUUCGGCUUUGAUUAUGGCUCAGGAUGAACGCUGGCGGCGUGCCUAACACAUGCAAGUCGAACGAAGGUAUGUAUAGGAAGUCUUCGGAUGGAAUAUGUAUAACUUAGUGGCGGACGGGUGAGUAACGCGUAAGUAAUCAACCUGUGACACACGGAUAACUGAUAGAAAUGUCAGCUAAUACGAGAUGAACUGUUUAAAUUGGGAAAUGGAAACAGCAAAGCGAAAGCGGUCACAGACGAGCUUGCGUCUGAUUAGCUAGUUGGUGGGGUAAGAGCCUACCAAGGCGACGAUCAGUAGCCGGCCUGAGAGGGUGAGCGGCCACAUUGGAACUGAGACACGGUCCAAACUCCUACGGGAGGCAGCAGUGGGGGAUAUUGCACAAUGGGCGAAAGCCUGAUGCAGCAACGCCGCGUGAAGGAAGAAGGCUUUCGAGUCGUAAACUUCUGUCCAAAGGGAAGAAAAGAUGACGGUACCUU